UCGACAUAAUGAGGUUAGUGAGUAUGAGGAAAGUCGAUUUUCGCAAAGACGAAAAUUCAACAAUAUGUUUCUCAUAUGCACACUUUUGGAUUAAUAGUCGUAAAGUGCCACUUGAAAUUUCCCAGAGGUCGCGUGAUUAUACAGGCCUGCUGUGGAAACCAUGUCACUGCCCCAGUUCAGACUAUCUAUAAACAGCAAUGAGCUCUCAGAGAUGUCUGCUUUACAUCAGAGAGGUCCUGAAGGGAUGGAUCAGGUUCAUCUUUGUUCCUGCGGUAAAACAAGAGGGAGCCAAAAUGCUAAAAUCCCUCUUUUGAUGUCGACAGCAAACCGUGGGGAG
ensembl:lncRNA